GGUAAGAUGCUACCCUUCCCUGGUCCUAAAAAGAAGGGAAAAUGGAAAGCCGGUCAACACCGUUGCCCUUCUCCUAUGCUGCUUAUUCCCUUGGUCUACUGCAGCAAAUUACCUUCACAAGCUUUACUGACUAAACAGCAACAUGAAAACAUGUUAUUACAGCAUUGCAUGUAAUGACAAGUUGGCCAGUGUCUUGGUACAGCAAUGUCCUUACUAAUGUGAUACUCCUCAACAGAAGAUCACAGUUAAUGUGUCAACCUGAUCAAGAUCAGAACGAACUCACCUUUCGAAAGAUUGCAUUAUUAAUUGAAACCAUAAGUUGAUUCCUUACUUUGGUCUGUCAGGAUAUCAUCCUAGUGGAGGCUCUGAAACUAGACAACAUCAAGGCUGGAUUAUACAUGCUGCACUGCUUACCUCUAAGACUGGUUGGAUCUGAGGGUUCACCAGUCAGGUGCAUCCUUAUCAAGUGAUCACUUCCCUGAUGCUCUUUCCGAAGCCUGCGGAUGCAUGGUGCCCACUGAUGCUAUAUCCUGGCUAAUGUCCUGAUCCAGUCCAUAUCAGUAACAAUAAAAUGCCGUGUGUCAUCAUGUAUAUAUAUACUUAUACUAUCACCCAGAUAUUUUCAAUCGGCGACCAAAAUGUAGCUAGAAUUAUUACAGAUAAGUCACUGGUGCAAGGCAAACUUACAGUAGUCAUGGCACUCUGCUCGGUCUGCUGUUACCCUUGUAAUCCCACACUGAACCACAUGACUACAUGAGUCAGAAAUUUUCAAGUAGCUUUUGCUUUCACCUUGAAAGUUUCAAGCUAUUUAUGCAAUAUUUCAACUCUCCUGUUAUGAAGCCGGCUAGUACUAUUCUCAGUACUGCUACUUUGAACUCUUUGUAAUGCUCUGCUGUCAUGUAAUAUAAAAUGGGUUGCAUGCUCGUGACGAUGGCUGCAUAUGGAUGAUACAGCAAGUGGUUUUCUUAUUGAUUUUUCAUGAUUAACAUAGCAACUAUCUUGAUACUCGUAUUUAAAAAGUUGUGUGCACCCCUAGUGGGUGCAAAGGCCAGCUCUUCUCUCCCAAAAUUUUAUAGCUAGACAGAUAUCUGACAUCCACCGAAGUAAAUGAAAUGCAGUCCUAACUUAGGCUUCUGGAACUACUGGAUUUCCAAAAUGCUCAAACUGGGUACUGCGGAGAAAGUACAUAAGAGGACUUCACAUGAUGCUGCAAAUAGAUGAACAAUGCUGACAAAGUCCACCAAAUCACAAUAGGAGAAUCAUGGUGCGACUAUUGGCAUCUGCAUCCCCAAGCUUUCCCCAGCAACUAAAAACAGGGACGAUAACCUUGUAUGAAACUAGACUAGCAUUUAGUAACAGAAACUAGAGAACCAUGUAGUCACGUCACCAAAUGACAUUGAUAUUUUACCAAUACCAAUUAUGUAAGUUGGAGUAUAAACCUGUAUGUCCUAGCGGCAUGACACAGAUCAAGUCAGUAUGAACGGAAAUAAUGCAAUCACGAACAUCACACAAAUAAUAUGAGCACCAAUUUUACACCUCGGUCUCAUGAUGCCUUCAUACAUGUCAGCACAUGUAGGACAGGACGACAGGUUGUUGUGUCGAUUACAAUAACGAGAACAACAGGGAAUCGACAAAUAAAAAGGAGAACAUGUAAAAACAACAUUUUCAUCCGAUGCAAAGCACCAGGACGGAGACUGCACAUUCUUGUCGCCCUGUAGUUUGGCUGCGCCCUUGCCUUCUCGCUGUUAAACACAACCAACAUUCAGCAAAAGGCAUUCACAAACCCUGGAAUUCCAUCUUGCGAACCUGUCACCAGUAAAGGCUAUAUUCAGAACAUAUUUCUUCACUUUUGAAGAAACAGAUUUCAGUCCAAGAUAGGGCCAAGGCCAAUUAUGGUCCCUGUGGCACAGCCUGCUAUGGUUGAACGGCCUCUUGCAAUUCUGUUCAUUGUCAAAAGAUAGAUGUCCUGGUUAUUUCUAAGUUGCUUUAUCAUCAAAUAAAUAAGUUUUACAGUCAGCUACCUUAUUCUCUAACCGCCAGUUUACUUGCCAAAGUUUGUUUUAUUAACUACAAUACGAGUAAAAAAGUGCAAUGAAACUCAUCACACAUUUAAAAAAUUACAAAGCGAAACAAAACAAAAUGAAUAGGAAUAACCGCAUAAGUGGUGGAAAAACAUAUAAAUAAACACUUGAGCAAAGGAAACACACUUCAGUAAUAGUUUUGGCUUCACUUCUAAUCUUUGAGGACCACAAACAAGAAAUGCAACAGUCAAAUUUGAAUUUGUUUUACAAGUACUCUACCUUGCUCCAAAAACUUUUGCAGUGACAUUCCCAUUUCCCAACAUGGAUGGAGUUAUUACUCCUUGAUAGAUUAUUUAGGAAUAGUAAAAUAGUUCAAAUCAUGGCUGAACAAUAUAAACUUGAGCAAAGGAACUUAUAUCUGAAACUUCCCAGGCAUGACAAUUUCAUGAUACAAAAUUGCACACUAAUCAUUCAAUGACUAUGUUCAUUCAAACUGACAGCCCAUGGAAAUUGGACAGAUUGAAGACUAGCUGACAGCAUGACUGAACAAUAAAAAAUGCCUGAGUUUCAGUUUGCAUCAUCGGAAAGAAAUAUCAAACAUGGGUGGAGUUAUUACUCUUUGAUAGAUUAUUAGGAAUAGCAAAAUAGUUCAAAACUUCAAAUCAUGGUUGAACAAAAAGGUAGGCAGGGGUUGCAUUGUAAUUCCCAAAAUUGGUUACAGGGCAUUAUCCAUGAUUCAGACUUCAUUUACGAAAGUAGUCGUAGCAUACUAAGAUUAGUAAAUGAUAGCUAGAAUCCGUCCAGUGUGCUUUUCUGCUGAUAUAAACAUAGCUGAUGCUUGAAGAGUGUGCAGAAAACAAUCAUGUAAAAUUGUGAACAAACAAAAGCAGUUUCAAAUAUUAACAUCUCUGAAACAUCUCGGACAUGAUUUUUUUGUUAUGAAAUCAAAAGCAGAAUAUUUCCAUGAUGUUCCAACAACUAUUUGGCAUUCGCUAUAUCUUCUGGAGAUUCAGGAUUUAAAUAUUGUGUAUUGGACAAACCACAAGUAUGCAAUAUUUAAAUACAAUGUAGUCAGCUAUGUAGCACCUUGGUGCUCACGGUACACAAUACAAAAUUCCACACCAAUCAUUCUAUGACUAUAUUCAUUCAAACUGUCAGCCUAUGGAUUAGCAUCUGCAAACAUAUUGAAGAAUUAACUGCCAGCGUGACUAAACAAUGAAAAUUGCCUGCGUUUCAGUUUGCAUCUUCGCAAAGAAAAAGUUGCAGUUUGUAUAAAAUAUGGAUAUUUAUCAUACAGAAAUCUAUCUAAUUAUCUUCACAACUAGCUAAUACAAAACUCAAGCUUUAAAAUAAAGCUAGGUUGCACUUUGAAAUUGAACUAAUGAAAGCAAUUAAGAGAACAUAGUAAUGAUCACCUGAUUCAAGUUCCUGAAGAUCAUUCCUCUGCUGCCCCAUCAGAAUCCGAGAGAGGUAGAAGCGUACCCAAUCCAAUAACAUGUCCAUUCAGGCAUACGAAAUACUCCACAGAAUCAUCGUAAGCACCCAGCCUGGCGGAAGCACUUGCCGGCAUCAUAUCAGCCUGCAGCAUGUUCCAUAGCUUAGCCUUACAAUAGGGGCACACCUCCCUUGGAUGGAACCUAGCCCGCUUCUCAAUCAAGAUCUUCUUGACCCUUGAAGUGGCAAACGACUUGAAGAUGCCACGGAAGAAACCCAAGUCGCCUUCUUCCCCCUGGUCAAGAUGCUCACACGGAUCCGAAACAUACAAGACAUCCAUCCUACACUGCACAGGCAGAAAGCUCUUGCCCGCAGUCCUUGAAAAGCGUGUCCUAAACACAAAGUGUCCUGGGACAUGAACGUUGCUGAACAGCCCCCCUUUUGUGCAGCCAUUACAAUAGAUGAGCAGCUUCCCAAGCGCCUUCCAGUUCCCAUCGACAAUGUGGCUGCCAUCUGAAUGCAAAUCCAGCAUCAUCUUCGGCGCCCUGGCAUGGCAGAACUCCUUCCAAAGCACCUGUUUCGCAACCUCAUCGAACCACUUGCAUACGCAGGAGAGGAUGGCGAUUUGCCUGGGGUUCCAGUUCAUGUGGCGGAAGACUAGGAACAGCGCAUCCUCGCUGAGGUGGCCCUUGAUGCAAGCGCAGCUCGCCGAGUGCGUGCAGCGGUGCUGCUUCACUACCAACACCAUUUCCAGCAAGCAACGCCUACCUCCUCAGCACAGGUGGAGGAUCCAGUAGGGCAAGGUAGGGCGGUCGCCCUACCUUGAUUUUUGCCUCGCUUGCGAAUUGGAGAAAAUUAAGGAGAUGAAAGGGGGAGCUAAAAGGCGGAAUCGGUUCGUGGGGUGAUGGGAGGAGAAACGGUCGGGAGCGAGAGAGUCGAAGGGGAGACCAACCGGCGGUGGCGGCGCUCGCGCGAGGAGGACGACGAGCGAGGGGAGGGGUGUAGGGUGCUCGCGCGAGGGGGCUGGGGCGGCGCUCGACAGCGGGAUGCGCCAGAAGGAGGGAGGGCGGCGGCGCUCGCGCGAGGAUGAAGAAGCGAGGGGAUGGGUCUAGGGUGCUCGCGCGAGGAGGAAGACGAGCGAGUGAGCUGGGGCGGCGCUCGGCAGCGGGAUGCGCCAGUAGGACGGAGGAGCGGCGGCGCUCCCGCGAGGAGGAAGACGAGCGAGGGUAGGGAUCUAGGGCGCUUGGCAGCGAGAUGGGCCAGAAGGAGAGAGGGGUGCGGAACAGGAAGGGAAAGAGGAAAAAGGGAGUGUAGGAAUUCAUCAAGCUUCAAGAAAUUUUCGAUCAUUAGAAUUUGUCUAUGUUUUUUCAUCCUUUUAAAGCUCUUCUGUACAACGUCGAUCUCCACACAUGUCCGGUCAACUUAGAAAUAGCCGGUUGGUUAUACUGUGGUGAUGCACUCAAAGAAUUUUAUAGACGCAACUCUCGUUUAAAUGUAGUCCUACAUUCACAUGAGUUCCCGUCCACACAUAUUGCAUGGAUAUUGAAUGCAAAUUAAUUAUUAAAUCAUUCUGGACAUUGCAUGAUAUCGAAUGCAAAUCAAUUAUUAAUUAAUUUUAAUGCCAACUCCAUAUUCUGUAACGGCUACUGUAGAUUUCAUGUGAAUUAUGUAAAUUGCCAACCUCUCUCUCAUUCUUAUUUUAAUUUUUAUAUAAAAAAGAUUUGUGUUUUCUCUAACUUCUAGUUUUCAUGUAAAUUUACUUUUAAAAUUUAGCUAUUGCGGGUUCAUGUGGAACAUAUGUACAAAAAUCAAUUUGAGAACUUUUCAACUCUUUGUUUGAAUUCUAUAAAAUAAUUAUAUUAUUAAUCUCUACUUCUAUUUAGGACAUAGAAUUAUUUACAAAAAUAUAAAUUUAUGAAUUUUAUAUUGAGUUAAAACCAAACUGCUAAUUAAAUUCAUUUUCCCCUGAAACUCAUAUAUUCAUUUUUUCCACAUAGCAUAAUAUAUCGUAUGGUAGUGUUGAUCUUCAAGCAUAACCAUUUUUUUCAACUCCGGUUUUUCAUCAAAAUUGUUUUUUUUCUCCCUUAAAUAAUUGUAAUCUUGAUCAUGCUUCUACAUGUGAGUUGCAUCUCACGUACAUACGUGGUGCUAGAGUAUGGAUCCUUCACAAGAAAAUUAAGGAUUUGAACCCACAUAUUUUUUUUUAAAAAAUCCCUUCGGAACACAUGAAGUCCUCUUAUGGAUACCCAUAUAUAGCAUGUUUUAACUCACAAGAAUUUUGAAAAAAGAAAAUCUAACAUGAUCGUGGUGCUCGUGCACACAAAAAAAUAAUCAAUGAGCGUUCCUUUGUUUGAAAUUCCUGCGGGAUACAUGUGGAGCAUGCAAGGGCCUCUUUGAUUCGCAGGAUGACAAAAUCACAUGAUUGCCAUGUCAUGCCUAUUUGAAUCCAAUAAGAUUACGGUUGGACCUUAAAAAAAAGGUUGGAGUGGAUACGAGAUUUCCUACCAAAUCUAGUGCAAUGAAAUCCGUAGAAGAACUCUCAUAGAUUCAACACUACAAAUAGCAACCCAUACCUGAAAAAAACAUCUCAAGGAAUUCAAAUCCCGCAAAAUCCCUACAGAAAAUUCUUUGAAUCAAAGAGGCCCGUGACCUUUUGCAAAAUCCCUUCUUUUACCAUACUCAUAUUGAACAGUCUUAGCCAUUGGACAUCUCCCCAGUAGUAUGCUACUGUUGGCAUGGGCACUUGAGAUUCGGGGAGAUACGUACGUGCCCACGCCACGACGACGGGUCGCUCUUGCGAUUGACCAUAUGUGCUGCAGGAGUAUAUCUGCAGCCAAGUAGCCAAGUGAAGGGCGAUCGAGGUGCCCACUUGGGCUCCCCAAGUGGCCAACUCGCGGCAGGAUUCGGUCGACUUCGCUGCGUCACCAUGUCCACUUGCACGAGACCGUCUAGGACGCGUUGGGUGGGUGGCAGCUUUGCGUUCCUGCUGCGGGAGAGCGCUGGACCCAGACAAGGCCGACAGAGUGCUCGGGCCUCCUCGUCGGGGCACAGGCCCAACGCGCGUGGGCUAUCCUCCCAACCUAGGCCUGCAAGAAGGGCCGGCUCGGCCCACUAAACUGCUAAACCGCCCCUCGUUUUGGUACCGUUUGACCCGGACCUUUGGGCCCAGCAAAUUCAAUAGUGCAGUCCAAAAACCCCUUUGGACCCUGACGUCCGAUAGGUUCGGCCCUCCUCUUGUUUCCAGUCCAGGAGAAACCGAGGCCGAGUCUCUCUCUUGUUCUCUCGACAGCUCCGCAGCGGGCAACGCCGCCGGCACGGCCGCCGCAGGUCACCCCGUCGUUCUCCGAUGAUCCGUUCAUAACCUCCACAGGAUCGUCCCGCUUCCGCCUCCAUCUCGACCGUGCCGCCGGCCGUGACUCCGAGGCGCCGCCGCCCGCUCCUUCGCCGGCGGGGGAAAAGAAGUUGCUGGUGGUGAGGACGGGGGAGAUUUUCCUGGGGCUUGUGGCGGUGUUCGUCCACGAGGUUAGGGGGGCGUCUCCGGUUUAGCACGUGGAGGCAGAGGCAGAGGGAGGUGGUGGCGACGGCGAGCCCUCGGUUCAGCUUCUUUGCCGCCGUUUUGGGCAUCGUCGACGCCGUUGAGAGAGGAGCCUCGUCGCCUGCCGGUGCUUAAACUCCACCCCUCUCCCACCGGUUAGUAUUCUGUUUCCUCUAUUGAUCUCUUCCCUCUCAGUUCAGUUAUGUAAUGUAUUUAUGUCUCAUGUGUUGUUCCUGUUCCGGUUUUGUUUGGUGAGGAAACAAAUCUUCUACUCCCUUUGAUCCUAAAUUGUUGUCGAAAUAUUACAUCUAUCUAGACGCUUUUUAAGAAUAGAUACAUCCAUAUUUGGACAAAUUUGAGACAAGUAAUAUGGGUCGGAGGGAGUAGCAUAUACCAGAGCAUGAACAAAUCUUCAAACAGUUUCAGUUAGCUGGAUUCAUUGUUAAUGAGAAUUAAUAUCUAUGAUACAGCCCAGGGUGUACCAUAAAAAAGUAUAGCACAGUACUUUCAGAGUGAUUUUGAUGAGAGCAUAUGCAGUGUAUAGUCCUGUCAUUUUGCAAACUGUGUGUUGAGCCAUUUAUGCCAUACGCUCCCCAGCGCAAGGUAAUUGUUUAACAAAAUUCUGCGAUGCAAUUUAUGCUUGGUAAUUUUCUGCAAUGUAUGCUUGGAAUGAGAUGAUGCUUGCAAUGUAUGUAUGAACUGGAUGCUUGGUGAUACAUUGGGUUGUCCGGGGUGGACUCACGCUGAUGAUUUGGGCCUUGGGUUUUGGGGGUUAGUAAUUGGAGAUUUGGGGUUGUCCGGUUGGGCCUCAGGAUGCCGUUGGGAGGGUAUGGCACCCGGCUGCUGCCCUCCCCAUACCCAUAGAAUAAAAUCCCUGUGUUUACCCUCCCCUGAUUGCCCAUUACCUACUUUUAGGCUAAAUUAGUUUGGAAGCCUAGCAAAAUUUGGGGGUCGGCUUCUUCAGGAAGCUGGGGGAGGACAGCUUCUGUGAGAAGCUCCCCAAAAGAACUGGGCCUAAUUAUGCUUGUGUAUUAGAUGGAUAAAGCAAAAACGAAAUGAGUAAUUUGGGAUGAUAUUCAUGAUGUGAGAGUGCCUUGGUAAUUAUCUUUGAAUUUUAACAUUCUGCUCCGCCACCAGCACUAUAGCAGUCUCUGUACCUUCUCUGGCCUGUACUCGCUGGUGGGCGGGUGCCUCGGUGAUGGGCUCAUGCUGAGACAACAGGGGAAAUAUCACUGGUAACAGAGUUGACUGAUCAGGGAAUGAUAGAAACUUCGGAUGGCAUAUAAGCGAAUCGAAUGCGAGUGUUUGGCCGACCCAUGACACGUCGUGUAUUAUGCCUAUUCAGGCUGGCGCUGAGGAGGAUUGUGGUGGAAAUGCAGCCACGCGGUGGUUGCAGAGGAGUGGACUGCAGCCUGUGCUCUAUGUUUGCUUACGAUACCCCUACAGUAAAAGGGCUGAUUUCUACACUUCCUAAACUGUCUUGCACAAAUCAAAUUUCAGAUGAGGCUGGUUGGCUUGACUGGUGGGAUUGCGUCGGGGAAGAGUACCAUAUCCAACCUCUUCAAAUCCAAUGGCAUCCCUGUCAUUGAUGCCGAUAUAGUUGCUCGGGUAAGCAGCAGCCGUAAUCGUCCUACAUGAUGUUCUAUUCGUUAUUUUGACCAGUUCAUUGUUCUGUUUUAGAGGGCCUGUUUAUGCUGCUUUCAAUAUAUGGUGAUCUUUUCUAAACAAUAUUGUUGUUCUUGAUUCAUCCCACCCAACAGCCUCAAGCUUUGCAUCACAACAAUUUUCUUGUUUUGAUUGAUUGCUUAUAUUUGGUAGAUAAUGUGCACUUCACUCCAAACAGAACAUCUGCAACACAGUUAUAAAUUGGUUGGUUGUAAGCUGGUUUUCCAGUGACAAGGAAAGGCAACUGUUCAGUUUGUUUUGUCCUAUUUAACCAUAAUUACCUGAUGUGAUCCAACCUCCUCUGAACCACGAACCCGAUCGAGCGAUCUAGAUCAGGGUUUGAAAUUGCUACGGAUCACUCAUAUUUGGGAUGUGAUUCAGUCAAUGCAAGGGGAACAAAUACAAUACUAAAUCAAGAGAGAAAUGAGAAUAAAAACAUGCCGGAAUUGUCAUUGUGUUACUGUAGUCGCCAUCAUGCCACUGCUCUCCACCACCGCACGUCACAGUCGUCGCUGUUGUGUGCAUUUCUCUGCAGUCAUGCCUGCCAUCGUGUCUUCAAAUUUAGGUGAGCUUGGCUGGGCCAACAGUUCACUGGUCAAAUUUAGGAUCUUCUACAUUUGUUCGCUAAUUCCAAAACCAUACAAUCCUACAUUUUGACUUUAUUUCCCUCCAUGUUACGAACUGAAAUAUGAAUUCAUGUACCUAGUCUAUAGAUCCCAUGACUCAAUUCGUAGCGGCUGAUGACUCAUGAACCUCAAAUCGAACGAAUUUCAGAUCUGGUAACUCUUACUUCGCUUAAGCUUCUAUCUGGAAUUUUAUAACCAGUAAGCUAAUGUGAAAAGUUUGGAGUCAGUAGGGAUUCAUGGUUACUGGCAGGCAGAGUAGCAGUAACUUACCUUUUCCCCUCUAUAACUAGAUCUAUCAGUUGAGCCAAGCCUCUGAUCUGAAAUUUAUAACCAGUAAGCUAGUGCGAAAAGUUUGGAGUCAGUAGGCAUUCCUGGUUAGUGGCAGAGUAGAUCUGCCAGUUGAGCCAACAUUAUUUUAUGCAUUAAAAUACAUUUUUGGUUGUCUUCAUGAAAAUUAUAAAUGUGUACGAACUACUGGAUCCUACAAAAUAUAAAUGAUUCCACCACAAUGCUUGGUAUGAGGCAGUAAUUUGUCAAUACUCUGGGGCUUUGUACUUGUUAGGCAUUUGGAAUAUUUUGGUGCUUGCAAACCACACUUGACAGCAGCUAGCAUGUUUGUGUUUUGGUACUGAUAAGCAUUUGCAUUACUUGCAGACCACAAUUGGUAGUUGCUACUUGAUAGUAUUGUAUGUACAAAGCAUUUAAAUUCUGUUGCGUUCUGAGACUGUGGAAUCCAGAGCUUGACUUGCAAACUUAGUACUUGACUUUCAGAUCUCAAAGUAUGUUUAAUACACUUUUGGACUUAUGUGUUACGAACUUUGUGCUGAUUGUAUUUUCAUGCAUUUACAGAAUGUAGUGCAGAAAGGCACCAGAGGUUGGAAGAAGAUUAUAAAUGCUUUUGGGAAUGAUAUCUUGUUGGAAAAUGGAGAAAUUGACAGAGCUCGCCUAGGCCAGAUGGUUUUCUCUGACCCAGUGAAACGCCAAAUUCUAAACCGGUACAAUCUCUAAGAAAAAAUGCAUUUUGUUUUGUUUUGCUAUAAUUAUAGAUAUUUGGUUCAAUUUUUUUUAACAUGAUAACUGCUACAUCCUCAACAGGGAAUAAUAAUUCCACCUAUUUCUGUUCUCACAUCUCAUGUUGUUGUGGUUCCCAUGAAAAUACAAUUGUUUAGUUGGAUAUUUUGCUCAUAUUAGCAAUCUUGGGCGUAUUUUUUUUUGAGUAAUCUCUUGUGUGUAUUUCAUACAGUGAAGAUGUAAUUUGACAAACCAUUAAUAUCAUAAAUGCUACAUUUAGUGUUUUGUAAUUCUGAUACUGAUCUAUACUUAGUGGCAUGCACAUUGUCAUGAUUAGUCCUUUAGAUGUCAAGGAUUAUUUUUUUGGUGGCAUUUUCUGAUAUGUUUUGUUCGUGAUUACUUCUUGGUAACCUUUCAGUCUUCUGGCCCCACAUAUUUCAUCGGGUAUACUUUGGGAGAUAAUAAAACUGUGGAUGAAGGGAUGCAAGGUUAUAAUCCUUGACAUUCCGCUGCUGUUCGAGACAAAAAUGGACCGAUGGACAAACCCAGUCAUUGUUGUAUGGGUGGAUCCCCAAACACAGAUUGAGAGGCUCAUGUCGAGAGAUGGAUGCAGCCAGGAACAAGCGCAGAACAGGAUCAAUGCACAGCUUGCGCUGGACUGGAAGAAGUCGGAAGCUGACAUAGUUAUCAACAACUCUGGCCUUCUAGACGACACAAAAGAACAGUUCCGAGAAGUAUUGAAGCAAGUGUCUGAGCCCUUGACAUGGAAGGAGCGCAUGAUAUCCCGGGAUGGCCUUCUCUCCAUUGUUCUGUGCACAGCAGUGGGAAUUUUACUAGCUCAGAAGAAUCUGCUAUGACCUUUACAUAUUUAGGAUUGAACGAAGAGGUUGAAAACUGCAAACUACCAUUGCACUAGCACGCUUAUGGUUCUGUGAUGUUUUAUACUCCUACGUCGACUGCCGAACUUUUAGUAACAAGAUGGUCAUGAACAAGCUGAAUCUGGCAAUCAUUUGUUCGUAGCUACACCUGUGUUGUCUUAUGAGCUUGUGGUAUACGGAGUCCUAUUUGGUUAUCACUUCGGAAUGGAUUACUUGAGCAAGUCUAAAACUAGGAUGCCAGGUUGAUACACCAAUGUUUUACAGAGAUAAUCAUUCAAUAUCACCGCUUCAGGUGCUGUCUUGAAGCGGUGAUUUUGAUUACUUCGGAACUGAACGGAGUUCUCGAACGUGGAUUAGUAUUUACUUCAGGUUCAAACUUGAAAUAUUUGAAAACUCAAAGUUAUGUUGAAGUGUAGCAAGGCGCCUUGAAAUUUUGGUUUUGAGUGAUCUCUCCUUUUCGAACUUAUUUAGUAGUCAUAAUAAGUGUAGUGAUGAUUUAGUACAGUAGUACAACUUACUAUGGCUCGGGGGGAGGGAGUACUGUGCUGUGACUGCUUUUUGUCUUUUUGGUUAUUUCAAAUAUCGGAUGGUUAAACCGAAUUACCUAAGCUAACAGAUGCUCGAAAAACAAAAGAAAAAGAUGGCUACAUGUUCCGUGGUUCCUGUGACCACACGUAUUGUACUACUCCGUUCUUUAUGGAACGGAGUGAGUACUGUCCAUCUUCCCAAAGCAUCUUCGCUUGCAACUCGGUCAACUCGGUGACACGAUAGCCUGAUAGGAGAGUUUCAGUUUCCAGUUAACAUCACUCCCCAGAGUCCACAGCACCCCAGACCCCGAGCGAGAGCGCUCGGCACGGCAAGUCGGCGGCGAUCAUGGCGGCGGCUGUUCUCAUCACCCUUCUCCUCCUCCUCCUUCUCCCGGCGCGCCACGCUCUCGCCACGGCGGCCGGCGACGCGCACCCGGGCUACGCGGGCGCGGAGGCCGACACCUGCGGGCCGGAGCUCGGAGACGGCGGCUCCGUGGGCCGGCGGAGUCACGGCCCGGCGCUGGAGGAGUACGGCGGGGGGCGCAUCGUGGACAUCACCCACGCGUACCGGCCCGACAUGCCGGCGUUCGCGCCGGGCGCGACCGUGGGCCCCGUGGUGCGGCUCAAGGAGUCCAUGGAGAACGGGUCCGAGUACAACCUGUCGGAGCUCCGGAUCGAGUGCCACAUGGGCACCCACGUCGACGCGCCGGGCCACAUGAACCAGGCCCACUUCGCCGCCGGCCUCGACAUCGACACGCUCGACCUCGACGUCCUCAACGGUGCGCGUCCAAAAGCUUUUCUCCUACCAAAAACUAACCAAGCUUCGAUUAUCUUGUUUAUUCUGGAACCAUGAAGCUUCGAUUAUUCUGUCAUCUCCGGCUCGCCAUAUGCACAUACACUACGAUCAUGUUGGUUAGAUGAUUAUAUGAUGCACGGAAUGAGGGGAAUCAAUUUGGAAACGAGAUGACAAGAACCUAGAGACGAGGAGGAAGAUGAUGCGGGGAAUUCUAGUUCUAGAUACCAAUUUAUAACAAGCAACAGUCUAGACUAGGCUCUGUGUUCAUUUUCUUCUAGCUGAUGUCUUCAAUUCAGAAGCUGUGAGCAUGUGAAACAGAGUAUCCAUUAGAAUUGCUUGAAGUGCAUCUCAAUUCCGCGUCUUGCUUCUGACCGAAAUAUUUGUGUGUGCUUCUUAAGCUUUCUAAUAAAGCUGGGCCAAAAGUCUUUUCUCUACAAUUUUGUUGUUGUUGCAUGUGAGCCUUAAUUAAAUCUGCAUUGUAUUUGGGAAUUAUUUGACCAUUGACUUACUAUUGUACCUUUACAGGUCCUGCGUUACUGGUCGAUGUUCCGAGACACACAAAUAUAACAGGUAUCCCAUGUGUGUUUUUUGCUUCCAGGAGCUCCAGCUCAUCUGCCACUCCUUCAAUUAAUCACUUUGCUGUCGCAAGAUUAAUUUAACAAGAGAUAUACAUAUAUCACUGGUAUGCUGUUGUUGUAUUUAGAUAUCUGUUUCUCCAUCAAAUUCAUGUCUUCGGCGAGGGUUUGAUAAGAAUUAAUUUCUCACAGACCAAUGUCUGCAUUUUUAAAAGAUAAGAAGAACGCGAGAAGUGUUGACAUUCUCAAUAAAAAUAUACGAUUUGUGUGCAUGGUGGCUAGCAUUAUUUGGUACAUGAUGCUCCCAUUAACUCUAUGCAGCUGAAGCAAUGGAAUCCCUUAACAUACCGAAAGGUGUCCGUCGUGUUCUCUUCAGGACAUUGAACACAGACAGGUAUGCCCUAUUUUCAGGAGAUAUUCAACUAGAAAUACAUUUUUGACCAUAUUAUUAGUUGAUUAUGUUAUGGAUUGUAUUGAACAUAUAUGUAACCAAAUGAUAUGUAGGGGGCUCAUGUGGAAGGCAUCAGGCGAUCUCAGUUAUGUUGGUUUUACAAAGGAUGGUGCACAAUGGUUAGUUGACAACACCGACAUCAAGCUUGUUGGUGAGUACUUAGGAGCUAGAGAAUAUUGGAAUUACAAAACAUGGCAUUUGUCUUUAUAUCCAUCUUCAUGAUGAUCUGGUGUUGUGGACUUACACAUAUUUGUCAGAACCUUGUUAAUUGUGAAUUGUCUAGGCUCAGUUAGUUCUAUAACCUUUUUGCUUGGGAGAUCAAUAUAUGCAUAUCCUUAUCUUAUGUAAAAUUAACAUAAUGAUAUUGGCAAUUCUGUAGGGGUUGACUAUCUAUCGGUUGCAGCAUUUGAUCACUUAAUCUCUGCCCAUGUGGUCUUUUUCAAAAAUGCGGUAAGAUGCUACCCUUUCCUGGGCCUAAAGAAGUGAAAAAGCAAAGCUACCAGAUAACAUUGUUGCCUUAUACUAAAUUACUAAUCUCUAAUCCUAUUCUGCUUAUUCCCUUAGUCUACCACAGAAAAUUACCUUCACAAGUGUUUCCUGACUAAAUAACCAACUCUGGAAACAUUUUACUACAGCAUUGCAUGUGACAGGUUGACCAAAAUAUUAGUUCAGCAUUGGCAUUGCUAAUUAACCUCUUCUCGAGGGACAAUGCUUGCUUAUUUACUACUCCUCUUAAGAAGAUUACACUUCAUCUGUUGGUGAUCCAGAAAGAAUAGAAUGAACUCACCUUGCAAUAUCUCACCUUCCAAGCGAUUGCAUUAUUGAUUGAAACCAUCAGUUGAUGUGCUUACUUUGUUUCUGUCAGGAUAUCAUCCUAGUCGAAGCUCUGAAACUAGACAAUGUCAAGACUGGUUUAUACAUGCUGCACUGCUUACCUCUAAGACUGGUUGGAUCUGAGGGUUCACCAAUCAGGUGCAUCCUUAUCAAGUGAUCACUUCGCUGCCGC
rnacentral:lncRNA from 1 species